GGCACAGUGGUCUAAUGGUAAGACCCCCACUACGUAGUGCCUGCUGAUUUCACGCAGAGGGUGGGUGAUCUGGGUUCAAUUCCCAGCUGAGCCA
rnacentral:tRNA from 1 species